rnacentral:rRNA from 1 species
GACGAACGCUGGCGGCGUGCCUAAUACAUGCAAGUCGAACGCUGCAGGUGGAGCUUGCUUCUCCGGCUGAGUUGCGAACGGGUGAGUAACGCGUAGGUAACCUGCCUGGUAGCGGGGGAUAACUAUUGGAAACGAUAGCUAAUACCGCAUAACAGUUGAUGUUGCAUGACAUUAGCUUAAAAGGUGCAAUUGCAUCACUACCAGAUGGACCUGCGUUGUUUUAGCUAGUGGGUGGGGUAACGGCUCACUAAGGCGACGAUCAGUAGCGGAACUGAGAGGGGGAUCGCCCACAUGGGAAGUGAGAAACGCCCAAAACCCCUAGGGGAGGAAGCAGAAGGGAAUCUUGCACAAGGGGCGAAAGCCUGAUGGAGCACCGCCGCGUGGGUGAGGAAGGUCUUGGAUUCGUAAAACCCUGUUGUUAGGAAAGAAAAGGGGUGGGAGUAAAUGUUCACGUUUCGACGGUAUCUAACCAGAAAGCCACGGCUAACUACGUG